AGGGUUCGAUUAUGGCUCAGAACGAACGCUGGCGGCAUGCCUCAUACAUGCAAGUCGAACGAGGUCUUCGGACCUAGUGGCGCACGGGUGAGUAACAUGUGGGAAUCUACCUGAAGGUUCGGAAUAACUGCGGGAAACUGUAGCUAAUACCGGAUGUGUCUGCAAAGAGAAAGAUUUAUCGCCUUCAGAUGAGCCCGCACUAGAUUAGCUAGUUGGUGAGGUAAUUGCUCCACCAAGGCUACGAUCUAUAGCUGAUUUGAGAGGAUGAUCAGCCACACUGGGACUGAGACACGGCCCAGACUCCUACGGGAGGCAGCAGUAGGGAAUAUUGGACAAUGGGGGAAACCCUGAUCCAGCAAUGCCGCGUGAGUGAAGAAGGCCUUCGGGUUGUAAAGCUCUUUCAUCAAUGAUGAUAAUGACAUUAGUUGAAGAAGAAGCCCCGGCUAACUUCGUGCCAGCCGCCGCGGUAAUA
rnacentral:rRNA from 1 species